rnacentral:rRNA from 1 species
UACAGAGGGUGCGAGCGUUGUUCGGAAUUAUUGGGCGUAAAGGGCGCGUAGGCGGUGCGGUAAGUCACCUGUGAAAUCUCCUGGCUCAACUGGGAGCUUGCAGGCGAAACUGCCGUGCUGGAGUGUGGGAGAGGUGCGUGGAAUUCCUGGUGUAGCGGUGAAAUGCGUAGAUAUCAGGAGGAACACCUGUGGCGAAGGCGGCUCUCUGGGACGGUACUGACGCUGAGACGCGAAAGCGUGGGGAGCGAACAGG